rnacentral:lncRNA from 1 species
GCAUGGAACUCACAUUUCAAUAUGCUUCGAAUGAGACUGCAGGUGAGAGUCAAAAAUAAGAAAAAAAUAAAAUUUAUCCUGAAUCUGUCCUAACCUGAUAAGACAAUGGAGCAAAAAGAGAUAGACCUUUUCUUUCCCUUGAUUUGUUUGAUCCGCUAAAAAUUUAUUAAAAAUUUGCUUCUGUUCUGACGUGUGCUGAAUAAAGCAGCAAAUGGAAGAAAAAAAAUAGAAUAAAAAUUAAUCUAUUCCAAAUCCAUUCCGAUUCGUCAAGAAAUCACUCUCGCCCCGAAAUCUACACCGUUUGAAUCCAUAAAUGCUGUAUUCAUAAAUUGAAUAGAAAUGAAUAAUUAAUCCACAACUAU